rnacentral:rRNA from 1 species
UACGUAGGGGGCUAGCGUUAUCCGGAAUCACUGGGCUUAAAGGGCGCGUAGGCGGGCUGUCAAGUCUGGGGUGAAAUGCCACGGCUCAACCGUGGAACUGCCUCAGAUACUGACGGCCUCGAGGAAGGUAGGGGCUGUGGAACUGUAGGUGGAGCGGUGAAAUGCGUUGAUAUCUACAGGAACUCCGGUGGCGAAAGCGACGUGCUGGACCUUUUCUGACGCUGGAGGCGCGAAAGCUAGGGGAGCAAACGGG